GGUUGCAAGUUUGAGGCCAUAGCAGAAGGGCUCAUGGCAUAUCCCUGUCAGAUUCCAAUGAAUUUGCAAAUUCUGCU
rnacentral:ribozyme from 1 species